rnacentral:rRNA from 1 species
CAGUAGCCGCGGUAAUACGGAGGAUCCAAGCGUUAUCCGGAUUUAUUGGGUUUAAAGGGUGCGUAGGUGGCCUGUUAAGUCAGGGGUGAAAGACGGUAGCUUAACUAUCGCAGUGCCCUUGAUACUGAUGGGCUUGAAUGAACUAGAGGUAGGCGGAAUGUGACAAGUAGCGGUGAAAUGCAUAGAUAUGUCACAGAACACCGAUUGCGAAGGCAGCUUACUAUGGUUUUAUUGACACUGAGGCACGAAAGCGUGGGGAUCAAACAGGAUUAGAUACCCCUGUAGUCCCUGUCUCUUAUAC